GUGAGUUUGGCCUGCCCUGACCUCUGCAAUAGUUGCUGUUAAUGGGAAUUAGAUUUGUAAUUCCUCAAACACUGCCCCUUCCUUCUGCUUCUGUCUUCCCAUCAUUUUUAAAGUGCCUUAUUCUGACUCUUCACACAUCUAGCAAUCUGACCCUUUUAACUUUUUUCAUUUUGGAACUGGUUUUUAUUGUCUUUUAGAAUUCUACCCCCAGUCUUAAAUUUUAAACAAACAAAUCCACAUCCAGUCAACUUUCUGAAAUAUUUUUUGCUGUGAUAGAGAAGGAAGUAUGAUGGCAUUCAUUGUUUCUGGAUUAAAGUAUUUUUGUUUGUAUUACAUUUUAUUUUUUUAGGGACAGGGUCUUGCUGUAUCACCCAAGGUGGAGUGCAUUGGCAUAAUCAUGGCUCACUGCAGACUUGAACUCCUGGGCGCAAGCAAUCCUCUCAUCUCAGCCUCCCAAAGUGCUGGAAUUACAGAUGUGCACCACUGCGCCAGCUUAUUUCUGGAUUAAGUUUUGGCAGAUAAGAGUGUUGGCCUAGAGAAGAUCUCACUCUGAUGCCCAGGAUUAUAGCUCACUGUAACCUGGAACUCGUGGGCUUAAGGAAUCCUCCUGCACAGCUAGGACUACAGGAAUGUGCCACCAUGCCUGGACAAUUUUUUUCAUUUUUUUGUAGAGAUGGGGGGUCUCACUAUGCUGCCCAGGCUGGUCUCGAGCUCCUGGCCUCAAGCAGUUCUCCUAUUUCAACCUCCCAAGUUAGAGGCUCCUGAACUACAAUGGCAACGAUUGAAGAAACUGUUGUUGAAAAGUCCACGCCAAAUUCUCGGUAUGUCACUGAAGACAAGGACAUUUUGGGUAGAACCAGGCUGCUAAUCCACUCUUGCCAGGAGGGAAGAUUUUUUCUCUUUCUGUAGUGAGCAACAACGCCACUCGAUGAAGAAACUGAGGUUCAUGGAAGUUAAAUAACUUGCCCACAGGGCACAACUAGUAGGCAGCUAAGCUAGGACUUCAACUGAGGUCUGUAAGACUUAAAGCACAUGCUAUUCCUGCUCCUCAAUAGCUUUCCUGCUAAGCACCAAGAGACGCUAGGCUGCCAGGAACAUCACAGCAGAGACCACCGUCAAUCAAUGCAUCUCCACCGUCUUUUAGACAUUCUUUUGAAGAAAGAUUUAGCUGCUAAAAGAAAAGAUGAAUAUACAAAAAGGAUAAUACUACCAUAUUUCAUCAUAUUGUCUCGUUUUAAUACAAGAAGACUCAUCCAGCUUAAACAUUUGAUGUUUAAGAAGCUAACCAGCAAGCUGCCCUCUGGGAAUGCAUACCAUCAGGUAUGGAUCAGUGGCCCUGAGAUCAUGUUCAUAACUCAGCAGCUUUGUACAAGCUGUCAAGACUCAGAACAUGGUACCCCAAAGUAUGGCACCUUGGUGUGCUGAGUACUGUGGACUGAAGGACAUCGGAAAUGUCUCAGAAGCUAUGUCUCUUUGACCUUCUCCCAGCCUCCUGUCUCCUACCUGUCUUUCUCCCUUGAAGUGAGUCAUGGCAACCAUAAUUCCUCUUUCCCAAGGUGUGUCACAGAAACUAGAACCCCUCUCCUCCAAGGGAAGCCGUGAAACCUAGAAAGGUCACUCUCUGCCUUCCCCCUUCUCCCUUGAAGACCCUCAUUCCAGAGGGGCCCUGCCCCAUAUUCAGGAGGGUUACACAAAGAGGUUAAGAAGAAUUUGAACAUUCAGGCCUUGCUGGGUUCCCUGCUCAGUCUAUCAGCAUUAGAUCACACCCUUUAGUCCAUCACAUUUCUACACCGCUGUCCAUUCUUCAUCAAACCGAAGAAUAAAAAAAGUUUUCCCUGGGUCUUUGGAUCUUCAUUUCUGAGGAGUCCCAUGUUACAUAAAACUUUGAUUACCUUCAUUAUGCUUUUCUCUUGUUAACCUGUCUUUUGUUAUAGGAGUGACCGUUAUGAUAGGUGAGGAAAGAUAUCACACAUUUCUGCCCCUACAAAGCCAAAAAUGUUGGCCGAGGAAUGCUGCUAAGCUCAAGGCCGUAGCUACUCACAAGCUUUUCUCUCCACUACCAAGACCUGUAGAUACAAUGUGAAUAAUUUUAACCUUGAUAUAGAAGGGAGCCAAUGCAGAAAAUAACUUCUCAGUUAUCCACAAAAGCUAGUAAAAGAGCUAACAUUCAUGUAUUUUUUUUCCCAACAAAUAUUUAUUCAACAUCUACUAAAUGACAGGUACAGUUCUAGGAACAGGGGUCCAGUAAUGAACACAAUUCCAAAAGUCCAUGGCUUCAUGACAAUUAUAUUCUUGUGUUGGGAGACAGACAAUAAACAAAUAUAUUGUGUAUAAAAUGUUGAUGAUGGUAUCAUGUCUUAGGUGAUGACAUAUUAACUGCCUUCUGUAAGCAAUCUUUUAUAAACUCUUUGCUGACUUGGAGGCACUGAAAGUUUUACAAAAACAUUGGCUUAUUUAUCAAAGAGGAAGUAUAGUAAAAUUUGCACUCAUUACAGGUUGAGUACCCCUUAUCCAAAAUGCCUGGGACCCAGAAGUGUUUCGAAUUUC
rnacentral:lncRNA from 10 species